rnacentral:rRNA from 1 species
UCGAACGAAACUUUUUUUAUCACCGAGUGCUUGCACUCACCGAUAAAGAGUUGAGUGGCGAACGGGUGAGUAACACGUGGGCAACCUGCCCAAAAGAGGGGGAUAACACUUGGAAACAGGUGCUAAUACCGCAUAACCAUAGUUACCGCAUGGUAACUAUGUAAAAGGUGGCUAUGCUACCGCUUUUGGAUGGGCCCGCGGUGCAUUAGCUAGUUGGUGGGGUAAAGGCUUACCAAGGCAAUGAUGCGUAGCCGAACUGAGAGGUUGAUCGGCCACAUUGGGACUGAGACACGGCCCAAACUCCUACGGGAGGCAGCAGUAGGGAAUCUUCCACAAUGGGCGAAAGCCUGAUGGAGCAACGCCGCGUGGGUGAAGAAGGUCUUCGGAUCGUAAAACCCUGUUGUUAGAGAAGAAAGUGCGUGAGAGUAACUGUUCACGUUUCGACGGUAUCUAACCAGAAAGCCACGGCUAACUACGUGCCAGCAGCCGCGGUAAUACGUAGGUGGCAAGCGUUAUCCGGAUUUAUUGGGCGUAAAGGGAACGCAGGCGGUCUUUUAAGUCUGAUGUGAAAGCCUUCGGCUUAACCGGAGUAGUGCAUUGGAAACUGGGAGACUUGAGUGCAGAAGAGGAGAGUGGAACUCCAUGUGUAGCGGUGAAAUGCGUAGAUAUAUGGAGGAACACCAGUGGCGAAAGCGGCUCUCUGGUCUGUAACUGACGCUGAGGUUCGAAAGCGUGG